rnacentral:rRNA from 1 species
UACGUAGGGUGCGAGCGUUGUCCGGAAUUAUUGGGCGUAAAGAGCUCGUAGGCGGCUUGUCGCGUCGUAUGUGAAAGCCCGGGGCUUAACUCCGGGUCUGCAUUCGAUACGGGCAGGCUAGAGUUCGGUAGGGGAGAUCGGAAUUCCUGGUGUAGCGGUGAAAUGCGCAGAUAUCAGGAGGAACACCGGUGGCGAAGGCGGAUCUCUGGGCCGAUACUGACGCUGAGGAGCGAAAGCGUGGGGAGCGAACAGG